UCAAGUUCAUGGAUAAUCUGAAGAAUUGUGGUAGUGGGGAGUACUAGAGCAAGUGAACUGCAAGAAUAAAAUUACUGGAUCAGAGAACAGGAUAAACAAUUGACAUCAUAGAUGUGAUAUAAUUUCUGAUAAUAAUGGUUCUAUUGCCUAUAAUGAUAAUGGGAUUAAGUGAUUAUGACAGAGAAGACUUUACAGUGCAACUGCAAAACCAUAAGAAGAAGGGUAGCCAGCAAAAUGAUGACGAGGAAUAGCUCAGAAGAAGUCUUAUAAUUCUGCAUGACGGAAGAAAGAAACAGAUAUCUGGGCACCUUUCUGAACUAUGCCACAACAUAAGCAGCACUCCAUAGCUACAACAACACACUUGUGUGUCUCUUAAAGGGAAGUGUGCCCCUCAUCCUCAUUGUCAGAGAGUCAACAGUGUUUCUCUUCUUUACUGGAGAUCCUGCCCUUUCUCACUGACAGACCCAGGUUCCCCCUCUGAAGUUAAAUAUAACAACAUACGCAAACUCGUCUGCCUAUCUCAUGUUACUGUUGUAUGACGCUUUCUUUAUCUGAAACAA